AAAAGUAAAGGGCCGCGGGGGCCGCCUAAAAACCCGAUAGCCAGAAGGCGCCAACCCCCGGAAGGGGGGAAGCGCCGGAACGGUGAACCCCUUGUGAAAAUCCCUUGUUGCUUCGGCAGCUCCUCCCCGCCCUCCCCGGGCGGUGAGGGUCAGCCUGCCGGCGGCACCACAGGAAACCACUUGCAAAAACCAGCACUUUUAAACGUCUGAGAGCGCAGUCGAAUGACACUUA
rnacentral:misc_RNA from 1 species